rnacentral:misc_RNA from 1 species
AAGUCGUAACAAGGUUUCCGUAGGUGAACCUGCGGAAGGAUCAUUAGUGAAUAUUAGGACGUUCAAUUUAACUUGAAGUCCGAACUCCCACUUUCUAACCCUGUGCAUUUGUUUUGGUUAGUAGGAUUCGUCCGAAAGCCUCUUCAUUUACAAACACAAAGUCUAUGAAUGUUUAAACUUUAUAACAAAACAAAACUUUCAACAACGGAUCUCUUGGCUCUC